AUUGAACGCUGGCGGCAGGCCUAACACAUGCAAGUCGAACGGUAACAGGAAACAGCUUGCUGUUUCGCUGACGAGUGGCGGACGGGUGAGUAAUGUCUGGGAAACUGCCUGAUGGAGGGGGAUAACUACUGGAAACGGUAGCUAAUACCGCAUAACGUCGCAAGACCAAAGAGGGGGACCUUCGGGCCUCUUGCCAUCGGAUGUGCCCAGAUGGGAUUAGCUAGUAGGUGGGGUAACGGCUCACCUAGGCGACGAUCCCUAGCUGGUCUGAGAGGAUGACCAGCCACACUGGAAGUGAGACACGGUCCAGACUCCUACGGGAGGCAGCAGUGGGGAAUAUUGCACAAUGGGCGCAAGCCUGAUGCAGCCAUGCCGCGUGUAUGAAGAAGGCCUUCGGGUUGUAAAGUACUUUCAGCGGGGAUGAAGGGAGUAAAGUUAAUACCUUGGCUCAUUGACGUUACCCGCAGAAGAAGCACCGGCUAACUCCGUG
rnacentral:rRNA from 1 species